GUGCGAGACCGAUAGCGAACAAGUACCGUGAGGGAAAGAUGAAAAGAACUUUGAAAAGAGAGUUAAAGAGUACCUGAAACUGCUGAAAGGGAACCGAAUCGUUUCCAGUGUCUAUAAUCCAUGGUAUAUUUCAUUGGCGUGUGAGUGCGUGCAGCGUUUUGGAAGCGGUCUCCGCUCCUGUCGUUGUUGUGCAUUUGCUUGCUGGUGCCCUGUGCUGUGGUGGGACGUCAGAGUCAGUUUGUAUGUUGCGGGAAAUGGUUAUCAGGGAGGUAGGUCGCUUCGGUGGCUGUUAUAUCCUGGUAACUAGUCGUCGUGGCUGAGACUGAGGUGCCUACAACGCGCUUUCGAGUCUGCGGGCUUCUCGUGUGGCUGUUUGCUUUGAUAGCUUGCUAUGUUGGUGAAUAAGUCGUGCGAUUGAGACCUGUAGUAACUUGUUGCUGUUCGGGACUA
rnacentral:rRNA from 2 species